GACGAACCGUGCGAACGUUAUUCGGAAUCACUGGGCUUAAAGCGCGUGUAGGCGGAUGGGAACGUCGGUUUCUGAAAGCCCCCGGCUCAACCGGGGAAGUGGGGCCGAAACGACCUGUCUGGAGGAACGUAGGGGGACCUGGAACUUCCGGUGGAGCGGUGAAAUGCGUUGAGAUCGGAAGGAACGCCCGUGGCGAAAGCGAGGUCCUGGACGUUAUCUGACGCUGAGACGCGAAAGCUAGGGGAGCGAACGGG
rnacentral:rRNA from 1 species